AGCGGACAGAUGGGAGCUUGCUCCCUGAUGUUAGCGGCGGACGGGUGAGUAACACGUGGGUAACCUGCCUGUAAGACUGGGAUAACUCCGGGAAACCGGGGCUAAUACCGGAUGCUUGUUUGAACCGCAUGGUUCAAACAUAAAAGGUGGCUUCGGCUACCACUUACAGAUGGACCCGCGGCGCAUUAGCUAGUUGGUGAGGUAACGGCUCACCAAGGCAACGAUGCGUAGCCGACCUGAGAGGGUGAUCGGCCACACUGGGACUGAGACACGGCCCAGACUCCUACGGGAGGCAGCAGUAGGGAAUCUUCCGCAAUGGACGAAAGUCUGACGGAGCAACGCCGCGUGAGUGAUGAAGGUUUUCGGAUCGUAAAGCUCUGUUGUUAGGGAAGAACAAGUACCGUUCGAAUAGGGCGGUACCUUGACGGUACCUAACCAGAAAGCCACGGCUAACUACGUGCCAGCAGCCGCGGUAAUACGUAGGUGGCAAGCGUUGUCCGGAAUUAUUGGGCGUAAAGGGCUCGCAGGCGGUUCCUUAAGUCUGAUGUGAAAGCCCCCGGCUCAACCGGGGAGGGUCAUUGGAAACUGGGGAACUUGAGUGCAGAAGAGGAGAGUGGAAUUCCACGUGUAGCGGUGAAAUGCGUAGAGAUGUGGAGGAACACCAGUGGCGAAGGCGACUCUCUGGUCUGUAACUGACGCUGAGGAGCGAAAGCGUGGGGAGCGAACAGGAUUAGAUACCCUGGUAGUCCACGCCGUAAACGAUGAGUGCUAAGUGUUAGGGGGUUUCCGCCCCUUAGUGCUGCAGCUAACGCAUUAAGCACUCCGCCUGGGGAGUACGGUCGCAAGACUGAAACUCAAAGGAAUUGACGGG
rnacentral:rRNA from 1 species